rnacentral:rRNA from 1 species
AUUGAACGCUGGCGGCAGGCCUAACACAUGCAAGUCGAGCGGUAGAGAGGUGCUUGCACCUCUUGAGAGCGGCGGACGGGUGAGUAAUACCUAGGAAUCUGCCUGGUAGUGGGGGAUAACGCUCGGAAACGGACGCUAAUACCGCAUACGUCCUACGGGAGAAAGCAGGGGACCUACGGGCCUUGCGCUAUCAGAUGAGCCUAGGUCGGAUUAGGUAGUUGGUGAGGUAAUGGCUCACCAAGGCGACGAUCCGUAACUGGUCUGAGAGGAUGAUCAGUCACACUGGAACUGAGACACGGUCCAGACUCCUACGGGAGGCAGCAGUGGGGAAUAUUGGACAAUGGGCGAAAGCCUGAUCCAGCCAUGCCGCGUGUGUGAAGAAGGUCUUCGGAUUGUAAAGCACUUUAAGUUGGGAGGAAGGGUCGUUACCUAAUACGUGACGAUUUUGACGUUACCGACAGAAUAAGCACCGGCUAACUCUGUGCCAGCAGCCGCGGUAACAC